rnacentral:rRNA from 1 species
UUAAGCGACUAAGCGUACACGGUGGAUGCCCUGGCAGUCAGAGGCGAUGAAGGACGUGCUAAUCUGCGAUAAGCGUCGGUAAGGUGAUAUGAACCGUUAUAACCGGCGAUUUCCGAAUGGGGAAACCCAGUGUGUUUCGACACACUAUCAUUAACUGAAUCCAUAGGUUAAUGAGGCGAACCGGGGGAACUGAAACAUCUAAGUACCCCGAGGAAAAGAAAUCAACCGAGAUUCCCCCAGUAGCGGCGAGCGAACGGGGAGCAGCCCAGAGCCUGAAUCAGUGUGUGUGUUAGUGGAAGCGUCUGGAAAGGCGCGCGAUACAGGGUGACAGCCCCGUACACAAAAAUGCACAUGCUGUGAGCUCGAUGAGUAGGGCGGGACACGUGGUAUCCUGUCUGAAUAUGGGGGGACCAUCCUCCAAGGCUAAAUACUCCUGACUGACCGAUAGUGAACCAGUACCGUGAGGGAAAGGCGAAAAGAACCCCGGCGAGGGGAGUGAAAAAGAACCUGAAACCGUGUACGUACAAGCAGUGGGAGCACGCUUAGGCGUGUGACUGCGUACCUUUUGUAUAAUGGGUCAGCGACUUAUAUUCUGUAGCAAGGUUAACCGAAUAGGGGAGCCGAAGGGAAACCGAGUCUUAACUGGGCGUUAAGUUGCAGGGUAUAGACCCGAAACCCGGUGAUCUAGCCAUGGGCAGGUUGAAGGUUGGGUAACACUAACUGGAGGACCGAACCGACUAAUGUUGAAAAAUUAGCGGAUGACUUGUGGCUGGGGGUGAAAGGCCAAUCAAACCGGGAGAUAGCUGGUUCUCCCCGAAAGCUAUUUAGGUAGCGCCUCGUGAAUUCAUCUCCGGGGGUAGAGCACUGUUUCGGCAAGGGGGUCAUCCCGACUUACCAACCCGAUGCAAACUGCGAAUACCGGAGAAUGUUAUCACGGGAGACACACGGCGGGUGCUAACGUCCGUCGUGAAGAGGGAAACAACCCAGACCGCCAGCUAAGGUCCCAAAGUCAUGGUUAAGUGGGAAACGAUGUGGGAAGGCCCAGACAGCCAGGAUGUUGGCUUAGAAGCAGCCAUCAUUUAAAGAAAGCGUAAUAGCUCACUGGUCGAGUCGGCCUGCGCGGAAGAUGUAACGGGGCUAAACCAUGCACCGAAGCUGCGGCAGCGACGCUUAUGCGUUGUUGGGUAGGGGAGCGUUCUGUAAGCCUGCGAAGGUGUGCUGUGAGGCAUGCUGGAGGUAUCAGAAGUGCGAAUGCUGACAUAAGUAACGAUAAAGCGGGUGAAAAGCCCGCUCGCCGGAAGACCAAGGGUUCCUGUCCAACGUUAAUCGGGGCAGGGUGAGUCGACCCCUAAGGCGAGGCCGAAAGGCGUAGUCGAUGGGAAACAGGUUAAUAUUCCUGUACUUGGUGUUACUGCGAAGGGGGGACGGAGAAGGCUAUGUUGGCCGGGCGACGGUUGUCCCGGUUUAAGCGUGUAGGCUGGUUUUCCAGGCAAAUCCGGAAAAUCAAGGCUGAGGCGUGAUGACGAGGCACUACGGUGCUGAAGCAACAAAUGCCCUGCUUCCAGGAAAAGCCUCUAAGCAUCAGGUAACAUCAAAUCGUACCCCAAACCGACACAGGUGGUCAGGUAGAGAAUACCAAGGCGCUUGAGAGAACUCGGGUGAAGGAACUAGGCAAAAUGGUGCCGUAACUUCGGGAGAAGGCACGCUGAUAUGUAGGUGAGGUCCCUCGCGGAUAGAGCUGAAAUCAGUCGAAGAUACCAGCUGGCUGCAACUGUUUAUUAAAAACACAGCACUGUGCAAACACGAAAGUGGACGUAUACGGUGUGACGCCUGCCCGGUGCCGGAAGGUUAAUUGAUGGGGUUAGCGCAAGCGAAGCUCUUGAUCGAAGCCCCGGUAAACGGCGGCCGUAACUAUAACGGUCCUAAGGUAGCGAAAUUCCUUGUCGGGUAAGUUCCGACCUGCACGAAUGGCGUAAUGAUGGCCAGGCUGUCUCCACCCGAGACUCAGUGAAAUUGAACUCGCUGUGAAGAUGCAGUGUACCCGCGGCAAGACGGAAAGACCCCGUGAACCUUUACUAUAGCUUGACACUGAACAUUGAGCCUUGAUGUGUAGGAUAGGUGGGAGGCUUAGAAGUGUGGACGCCAGUCUGCAUGGAGCCGACCUUGAAAUACCACCCUUUAAUGUUUGAUGUUCUAACGUUGACCCGUAAUCCGGGUUGCGGACAGUGUCUGGUGGGUAGUUUGACUGGGGCGGUCUCCUCCUAAAGAGUAACGGAGGAGCACGAAGGUUGGCUAAUCCUGGUCGGACAUCAGGAGGUUAGUGCAAUGGCAUAAGCCAGCUUGACUGCGAGCGUGACGGCGCGAGCAGGUGCGAAAGCAGGUCAUAGUGAUCCGGUGGUUCUGAAUGGAAGGGCCAUCGCUCAACGGAUAAAAGGUACUCCGGGGAUAACAGGCUGAUACCGCCCAAGAGUUCAUAUCGACGGCGGUGUUUGGCACCUCGAUGUCGGCUCAUCACAUCCUGGGGCUGAAGUAGGUCCCAAGGGUAUGGCUGUUCGCCAUUUAAAGUGGUACGCGAGCUGGGUUUAGAACGUCGUGAGACAGUUCGGUCCCUAUCUGCCGUGGGCGCUGGAGAACUGAGGGGGGCUGCUCCUAGUACGAGAGGACCGGAGUGGACGCAUCACUGGUGUUCGGGUUGUCAUGCCAAUGGCACUGCCCGGUAGCUAAAUGCGGAAGAGAUAAGUGCUGAAAGCAUCUAAGCACGAAACUUGCCCCGAGAUGAGUUCUCCCUGACCCUUUAAGGGUCCUGAAGGAACGUUGAAGACGACGACGUUGAUAGGCCGGGUGUGUAAGCGCAGCGAUGCGUUGAGCUAACCGGUACUAAUGAACCGUGAGGCUUAACCUU